rnacentral:rRNA from 1 species
GAUUACCUUAGUAUGGGCGACUGAACAGGUAAAAGCUCAGGCAUAAAAUCAUCAAUUGUAAAAAUUGAAGAAUUGUAGUCUGGAGACCCAAACCGAAAGGAUCCGAAUGCAUAAUAAGUUGGAAUACUUUUUCAAGGAGGGUGAUAAUCCCGUACAUGGCAUAAGGAGACUGUAGGUAAGGAGUCAUAGAGUCGGGCAUUUUGGGAUUUAUGCCCUAAUCGGGAGAUAAACUUCUUCCAAGGCUAAAUAUUGAUGGGAAACCGAUAGCGAACAAGUACUGUGAAGGAAAGAUGAAAAGAACUUUGAAAAAAGGGUUAAAAGACUUGAAACUGUUGAGAAGGAAGCGGAGGCAGCUGGCAAAGACUAUUAAUACUGAGUGGAAACUUGUGGAUAGUAACCGAAAGGGCUUAAGCAAGGGCGAAGCGAGGGAAGAGUAGUUAAUAUCAAAGUGGGGUUCUGACGAUUGAAUAGGUUAUAUGAUUUACUCUCUUCGGGGAAAGCUUAUAACUAAAAGUCGAUAGAGCCUGAGGGAACGAGUUGACUUUGAUAAAACGGCUGUCACCGGCCCGUCUUGAAACACGGACCAAGGAGUUUUACUUGCUUGCGAGUCUGCGAGUGCUAAACUCAUAGGCGAAAUGAAAGUAAUUAUAAGAUGCCAGGAGCAAUCUGCAGCAUCGGCCGUUCCUGAUCUUUUGAGAAGGAUAUGAGCAAGAGCAAGUUGGUAAAGACCCGAAAGAUGGUGAACUAUGCUUGAGUAGACUAAAGCCAGAGGAAACUUUGGUGGAAGGUCGAAUAGGUACUGACGUGCAAAUCGUUCUUGAAACUUGAGUAUAGGGGCGAAAAACCAAUCGAACCAUCGUAGCUGGUUCCCUCUGAAGUUUCUCUCAGGAUAGCUGGAAUAAGAACGCAGUUUUAUUAGGUAAAGCGAAUGAUUAGAGGUAUUGGAGUCUAAAUGAUUUCAACCUAUUCUCAAACUUUAAAUUGGUAAGAUCCGGGGGUUUUCUUAAUUGAACGCUCGGGAAGAAUGCGUGUUCCAAGUGGGCCAUUUUUGGUAAGCAGAACUGGCGAUGAGGGAUGCUCCUAAAGUUGAGCUAAGGUGUCAAAUUUGCAGUCAUCAGAUACCAUAAAAGGUGUUGGUUCAUUAAGACAGCAGGACGGUGUCCCUAAGAGCAGGAAUCCGCUAAGGAGUGCUUUCAAGCUCACCUGCCGAAUGAAUUAGCCCUGAAAAUGGAUGACGCUAUACUGUAAAACCGAUACUCAACCUUUAAGGUAAAAGGAUAUCUUAAAGAGUAAGAGGGCGAGGGCAUAGUGUCGAAGCUUAGACGUGAGUCAAGGUGGAACUGUGUCUUGUGCAGAUCUUGGUGGAAGUAGCAAAUAUUCAAAUGAGAAUUUUGAAGACCGAAGUGGAGAAGGGUUCCAUGAGAACAGCAAUUGGUCAUGGGUUACUCGAUCCUAAGGAAACGGGAAAAGCCUUAAAAUAUGGAUUUGAUCCAGAUUCCAAAAGGGGAUGAGGUUAAUAUUCCUCAAGCUAGCGUGGAUGAAGGUGGCAACAUAAACAAGCUUGGAGACAUCAGUGUUUACCCCUAGAAGAGUUUUCUUUUCUUCUUAACCAUCUCAAACCUUGGAAAUGGAUUAUCCAGAGAAAAGGUCCGAUGAUGGGUAGAGUAGUUCAAUUUCCGAACUAUUAGGUGCGUUGACAAUGAUCCUUGAAAAUCCAGGUGAGCGUUUUAUUUGCACGCUAGAUCGUACCACAAACCGCAUCAGGUCUCCAAGGUUACU